rnacentral:rRNA from 1 species
CUGCGGGGCGCACCAGGCGAGAAAACUUUGCAAUGUGCGAAAGCACGACAAGGUUAAUCCGAGUGGUUUGUGCUAAACGAACCUUUUGACAGUCCUAGAAACACUGUUGAAUAAGGGGUGGGCAAGUUCUGGUGUCAGCCGCCGCGGUAAAACCAGCACCUCAAGUGGUCAGGAUGAUUAUUGGGCCUAAAGCAUCCGUAGCCGGCUCUGUAAGUUUUCGGUUAAAUCUGUACGCUCAACGUACAGGCUGCCGGGAAUACUGCAGAGCUAGGGAGUGGGAGAGGUAGACGGUACUCGGUAGGAAGGGGUAAAAUCCUUUGAUCUAUUGAUGACCACCUGUGGCGAAGGCGGUCUACCAGAACACGUCCGACGGUGAGGGAUGAAAGCUGGGGGAGCAAACCGGAUUAGAUACCCUCGUAGUC